AGACGUUGGGCUUUUCAACUGCAGACUUCAAUGCUUUGUUUCCAGGUGGCAGGAGAAACAUCACAUCUCAUUACCAACAAUUAUUUCCCUCAAAGGUUUGUAGGUAAAAAGAACUCAACUUGAGACUCAGAUGUGACUUUGGACUUUUGAUUGAAUUGAUGCUGGAAUGAGGUGGCUGAAUAAGAAGAGCUCCGGUCUGCAGCUCCCAGCAUGAUCGAUGCAGAAGAUGGGUGAUUUCUG
rnacentral:lncRNA from 10 species